rnacentral:misc_RNA from 1 species
AAUGGUACGGAGCUCCAUUUGGCUAGAAAAAAUGAAGGAAAAUGCGUUAGUCCUUAAAUAAACAGUUAAGCAAUUGUAUAGACAAAAGAGAACUCAAAUGUUCAUUUAUGCAGUCGAGCAACUUAUGGCGAAAACACAAUAGCAGAACCUUAGUCCUUAAAAUAUUCAGUAGUUAAGCAAUUGUACAGACAAGAAAACUCAAAUGUCCAUUAUACAGUCAAGCAACUUAUGCCAUAUACUUGCUAAGGAAACACAAUAACAGAACCUGUAAUUGGUAAACCAUAUCCCUAGAACUUUCCACCCUUCCCCCUCUCAUUCUACGAUUGUAAAGAAAAAAAGGUCAGAAUCCAUUAAACACACAAUUGUUGCUCAAUGAUCAGGUCACAACUAACAAUUUAUGGCAAAUAAAAUUAUUGUUGAACUUAUAUACACAAAAAAUCAUAAGCAGGAGAAGAAGCAAAUAAAAGACAGAAUUCCAAAAUUUGCAAUUCAGCAGUUUCAUCAUAUUCAAAAAAAGAAAUAAGUUCACAGUCCCAAUAAUUGGGAUUGGGAAAAAAAAAAGAAAAAAAGAAAAACACAUAAUAGUGAUGACAUGGAUUCUUUGGGAGCCGGCAAAUCACAUUCCAUAUCUCAACAGGAAAUUCAAAGUACCAUACUAUUUCAUUAGGAAAGUGUAGCAGUAAAGCUGGGCCUUAGCUUUAAAAGGGAGAGUUAAGAAAAGGUAGGAUGAAGCAAAUAAGAAGACAUCUAUUCAAGAAAUACCUUAUACUAAGAAAGAGUGCACAGGAUUGAUGAUUAUUUUAACAGUAUAUGAACAUGCCACAUAUUAUGCUUACUGAUAGCUGGACAUAAGCUAGCAAGAGAACAAACAAAUUCACAUAAUGAAUCUUAGAGAUGGUCUAGAAUUCAUUAUGAUCAAUGCACAAAUAACCACAAAUAAGCUUUCUGAAAAACUCGUUCAAAAAAUUAAUUCGAAGACCACUUCCAAGCAUUCCAGCUAAUCCAAUAAUCCUACCAAUAAGGAGAUAUUGAUCUAAAACAAGAAUAACCAGUGCUUUCCAAAGGGAAGAUGUUCACAAAGCAAGUAUAACAAGAUACUUCUCAAACCAUACAUUAUGCUUAACCCGAGCCCACAAUUACAAGUUAAAGUAAAUCUGCACAUAGACAGGCAAAUGGAAAUUAACACCUACAUGUCAAUGCACAUUUUCUGCGUGGAUAACAAACCUUAUUAAUUGCCCGUGCUGGAAC